GCCGGAGGUGGGCGCGUGGGGGCUCGGGGGAAAAGGCUGGGUUUGUGUUUGUGUGUGUGUGAUUGUGUUAGGACGCCGGGAAAGGUGGGGGUUGGCAAGGCCGACUCGAGACGAGUUGCCAUCGAGGUUUCUUCGCUCCGGCUUCCUCUUCUGCCCCGCGACCCCCUCCCCCCGGGAGCGGAGCUGGGAGGGGGAACCAGGAUUUUAACCAAAUUAGCAAUCACAUUCCCGGCAGGAUGCAGCCCUCGCCUGGACCUGGAUGAUAGAAGCUUUUUGCUCUUGUUUUUAUUUUUGGAAAGGAGUGCCCAGUAAUUGUCCUAGACACAUGCUUCUCCCGCACACCCCCCUUCCUCCUCCAGCCAGCAGCGGAGGAGAGUGUCCCCCUUUUUUGCAUUUAUCUUUUCCUUCCCCUUUCUUUAUUAAAGGUCCGGGAGUGGCGGCGACCAAUCAGCGUGCGGCUUCCAUUUUGUAAGUUCAACUCCGAGGCUCCUGGGCUUUGCGAGGAUGCAUUUGCAGCCCCUCUACCUGUCCAGUCGGGCGCCCGAGGAGAGAAAACCGCCUCGCUGGGGCUUCGUGGUGGUGUAUUUCAUAUUGGGGCUCUUUUCGGGGUUUGUAAUUUGGCCGUGGGUAGGUAAUUGGCUGGAGCGGGGCGGCAGGGCGCGGCAGCCAAUCAGCGCACGGCUUCUAUAGGCCUUGAGUUAUUAGACGCUGAUCUCAAAACAUCCUUCAUCAGACACCAAGGAGAGGCCAACAGAUGAGGGGAGCCAUUUUUCUGCAAUGGAAUUAAAUGGCCAAGUGGGUUCUUCUUUGUUGCAAAUGGGGAAUGUUUUUCCUUUGACUCCACCAUCCAGUUCAGGACGCCUCAGUGUUGUGUUUAACAUUUGCCAACAGGCUAAAGGACUCACAAUUGGAAGAAUGAAGAAGACUUUUUAAAAAGAUCUGGAUAUUUCCUUAUGACUUGGAAUCCAUCUUUGUCUUGUAUAACUAGGUCAUAGCACACCAUUAAUGUCAGCAGUUAACAAUUUUGAAUUCCAAAAAACCUAAGUAAAUGACAUAUUUAAUUUUUUUUCCUCUUUUUUUCUUGGGUUGAUGGUGGGGGGAGCUUGGAGCUGUCUUAAUCUGUAUUCUCUUGACUGAACAAUAAAUUUUAUAGUUUCCUCUAUUAAACACUUAAAUCUGACCAUUUUAUUAACUCCUCUCUUUGUAACAAGGUAACGUUUUAAAUGUAUAGUUUUAAGACUAGCGAAAUGGCAGUAACAAAAAAUGUUAAGCAUUUGUUGACGCUUUUAAGUUUUUAAAAACGUUGUAAGUACCCAAUCCAUUCUGUCCUUAACGCAGUGCAGUUUUCAUGUUGAUGUUGCUGAGAUGUCCUUAAUUUUCUGAGCCUUCAUCUGCAUGUAUGUCUGUCGCUCUUGUCUAAGCCAGUUAAGAUGCUUUUAGACGAUUUUGCUUUUAUAAAGCUAUGGUUUUAGGUUUAAGCUUUUGAAAAUGUUUACAGCAAUAAAUGUUAGCUUUCUUCCCCGUAACAUGCACACUUUCUUUGAAAAUCGAUCUACUUAAAGAACAGCUCUGUUUUUCUCGUCUUAUAGAAGGGUGGGUGAGGGAAAGGAAGACCUCUUUGUGUAAAGACAAAAGCCGUCACAGGAAACUAGAUUAAAACUGGAAAACAAGUCCUAGCUGGUUCGAGCCAAACACUAACGUUAACUCGUGGGUAUUUUCUAUGGUGGUUGGGAUGGCCGUGCGUGUUUUGCCUUUUGUUUGAUUUGACUGUAUUUUCGCCUUUUGUCUCUUAAUUACGAUCACACCAUUACUAUAUCCAGAGCAGUAAACAGUACUCAGCGAAGCUUCGCCUCUUGCCAACCCAACCCUGGAAAGUUUGCAGAAGUGGAAGGAGCAGAAAAUGCCUUAAGAGUGUAACUUACAAAAAGCUUGAUCUUCCAGACUCCAUGGCACCGCGCUGAGCGGGGUAAGUAAAAAAAAAAAAGUGUAUUUUGCCCCUUCGAGGAAAUAUUUUUUCGAGCAGGCCAAGAGCUGCAAAUGUUUGGGAGCUGAGGGGAGGUUUCUGGAGUUUUGUUUGGCAGCUGUUUCGGGGAGGGCUGGGGGAGCACGGAGGGCUCUUCAGACCCUUUUGCCCCUUCUUCCCCUGAGGCGAGGUCUCCCCAGCGACCUGGGGCAUCCCUGGGGCCGCCUGCGCGCGUCCCCCUUUCUUUUCUAGGUUUGUGCUUUGGUGGGGGGAAGAAGAAAGUAAACUGUUCUGGAGAUGUGGGGCUCAGAAGAAGAGGAAACCCUACCGCCUGGCCUCGGGUUUCUUUCCCUUUUUACUGUGGGGGCUUGCACUCCGAAGCCGGCUUUUUGGGGCUCCCGGGCGCGCCUGCGCUUCCUGAGCAAAAAAGGACAAAGGCCGGCGUCCAUGUUGCCAUCAUGACGCAGCAUCUCUCCCGCCUGCAGCCCCAGCGCUGCCUGUUCUCCCAGCCGCGCUCGCUCCUCCCUCGCAAAAACACGAGUUUUAUUUUCAGGUUCAGAGCAGAGCCGCCGUCCGGGCCGGGGGUCGGGGCGAAGGCGAGGCGGGGUCCGGUUCUCGGGCGGGCCGGACUGCGGCGGCUAAUGGCGGCCGCUCUCCUCCUCCUCCCGCCCUCCUUCCCCGGUUGUCGUUGGGAGCCCGGAGCAGGCGGUGGCUCGGCCGGGCUGCGCCCCGAGAGCCAGCACGGCGCAGCGCCCCGCGAUGAGGGGUGGUCGCGGAGGCAGUUUCUGGGGCCGCGGGCCCGGGAGCUUCGCGCGCUGUCUCCCGCGCCUUUGCCUCCACCGGGCCAGGCGGCCAGACGGGCGCCAUUUCGCGCGCCGCCCGCGGCUCGGGCGGUGGCGGCUGCCGCUCGCCGGGCGGGAGGAGGGAGGAGGGAGGCGGUGGCGGCCGGGGGGAGGGGAGGCCGGCGUGUCGCCGCCCGCGGUCAGGCUUCCACCCGCGUGGACGCCCCUGGCUGGGGAGGCCUCGACGGUGAGCUCGGGUUCCGAAGCCGCCUCGGACUCCGCGCCCGACUCGGGGGGCCCCCGCAGGCACGAGGCGGCCUCGCCCGUUUGCUGGGACGCGGGUGCUUUUCCGUCUCCCUCCCGCUCGGGAGCCUGUGGCCAAGGGCCACGGGGCCGAUCAGGGCCCCGACUCCUCCGGAGCCCGCGGAAGCCUCCUCGGCUGCCCGGACUGACCCUGGGCCUCGGCGCCCAUAUUUGGCUCCCAAGCGCUCUUUGAGAGACGAGCGCAAGGGGCGGAGGGGCCCUUUGUUUCCACUUUAGGUGUGAGGCCUUCACGGAGGCCACCGACUCCCAGUUUGGCCGUCCGGGUCACACCAUCCAACCCGGCGCUCCAGAGGCUGCGGCGGGCGGGGGCGGGAGGUCGAGGUGUUGGGGCCGCCUGGGAAGGCUGCGUAGGCCUUUCCCGGGAUCCCCAGACGCAGAGGGCUCUGGGCUAAGCCCUCAGCUCUCCGUCCCUUCCUUGGGGAGGGGAUGCGGUCGGGGCGAGCCUUUGGAAAUGCAGAUGAGUCGCCUCCUGCCGCUUUUCGCCUGGGCUGAACCUUAGUGACUCAGCCACCCCCUCCUACCCGUUCCAGAAUGAGGGCCACCUUGGCAGGCUCUUGGCCGGAGAAGGGGCAACGGCCCGGUACCCCCAGAGUGGACCGUCCUCCCUUGGACAGCAGGAGCAGGUCUAGCUUGACUCUGACAAUCCGCCCACUAAGGUAGGUGUGGGCCCUUUACCAGGCUGCGAGGGAGAUUUGGGGGGCUUUGGCCUGGAGCCCAGGGAGGGCGGGCACCCCAAACCCGCUAGGCUGGUUCUGCAGCCCCUCCCCCACGCAGAUGUGUGGGGUUGUGUGUGUGAAAUCGGCCGCCUGCUGGGCCUGCUUGGUCCAUCCGUCCCUGCCUGUCAGCUUCUGUUGUCAACAGAGUUUGGGGCGUGCAGUUCUCUGCCGUAUUUAGCAGCAUAGAAGAGGCUGCACUUGCAAGUAUUUCCCAGUUGUGUGCUUUGUGGUGGGGGGAGGGCACUGGAUGCCUCUUCAGAAAGGCACAGUCAGCUGCUAGGAAGCCCCGCCCUGCUCUGGCCCUCCCUUCCGGCCCCCAGCGGGGGCAUGUGGGGUGACUGCGUGAGCGGCCUCUUCCCCUCUGGUGUCUGGCUGCUAGGGAGGUGAAGAACAGAAGCUGGGCCAGCUUCCUGAGAAAGAGGUUUCUUGAUUCUUCUCCCACUUCCAGGGAAUUCCUGCAGUUUUCUCACCUCCCCCAAAGAACCCUGUUUCUAGUCAGAAUUUAAAACCUGGCUACCCAUUUACCUGCUAUAAACUUGCAUAAGCUGCACGGUCUCUGAACUCGUUUCCCCAUCUGUACGAUGAGUCUAGGUCAGUGAUUCUCAGCCCUGAGUCUACACCCAUAUCACGGGGGUUGGGGUUGGGUCUGGUCCUUGUCCUUGUUUCUUAUUGAGUAUGUAGGGGUCUGAGAACUUGAAAUUUCCAACAAGUUCACAGGUGAAGCUGAUGCUGUCAUCUGGGGACACAUUUUGAGAAUCUUUGGGCUGGGUAACACCUAGGGUGUAGUUAGGAAGACCAAGCUCAUGGGCUUGAAUCCUGGAGGUCAGUGCUUGGCACACACUUCUGCCCCGUCGUGAUGACAAAUCUCUUACUCCCCUAACACAAGUUGACUGCGCACAGUUUCCCAUCCUCUCUGUCUCCAGGAAGCUCCACGGGUGGAGAUGGUUGUGACCCUUGAUCUCUGACCCCUCCCCCAUGUGAUAGCUAGUUUGUGAUUACUUUGAUGAACCAUUUGGGUCUAGGUGCCACAGAUCGAGGCAGCCUCCCCCGUUGGGGCCAAGGUCUGGCUUCUGUGUUGGAUCUGCCAUGCCCACUUUUACCCCACUGAGGGCUAGACUGAGGUUUGGGGGCCCCAUAGGGCUUACCUAGAGAUUUUGUUGAGGCAUCUUAGUGCUUAAUCAAGGGACGCUCUAAGGCUGCUGUGGGUUUGAGUCUUAGCUGUGCUGGCGACCUUAGGCUAGUUUCCUGUGUAAUGGUGGCAGGGUGGUGGCAGGAUUAAGUGUGAUUAAAGGGCUGCCUCCUGUUCAGGCUUCUCUCUAUUUGGCCUUCAUUUCCACGUGGCUGCCGGGAGUGGGGGCAGGGCUAUCUUGGAGCUCCUCCCUCCAGUCCACCCCCACCCACCCCCCAAGCACGUGGCAAAGCUUCAGGGCAAAAGGGAAGACUGGUUUUCUGUAGGCUGCAAGCCAGCACCAGUUUUUCCUCCUGUGCAGUUUGAGUCAGAUGGUGGCCUGCCCCCAGCUCCACGGACUGUUCCCAGGAUCAGGUCAUGAUCUGGGGGGAGGGGAGGACACACACACGGCAGCCCAGAGUAGAAGUGACACACCCAAGGUCAUGAGGCAGCCACCAGUGGCCAGGACAGGGUUCCAGGUGUCUUGACUUCCAUCCCAGCGGCACUGUCCAUGGCACCCCCCUCACCCCAGCUGUCUGGGUUAUUUUGGGCUCCCUCCCAUGCCAGCUGUCUGCUGGCAUCACUGCCUGGCAGCUGUGGAAGCUGGUUGAAAGUAGCUGGCAUGGUGCUGUUGGCCACCAUACCUGGGCCUUCUGAGGCUCUUCCAAGUCCCAGAUAAGCUGGGGUUGGUCCAUUUUGUCGUUCUCCGGGGAGAAGGGGAUGCACCCCACUGCACGGGGCACCACACUUCCCCCAACCUGGGGUGGGGGAAGGGAUGGGGAAAAGCACUGUGUAAAAUUUGCUGAGGCCCACAUUAGUAUCCUGUGAGCCUCUUACCUCCUUCCACACUGCCCCCAAACCACCUGAGGUUUAAAUUACACUCAGCCACUGGUGUCCUCACCUGACAGUUCUGCCCCUGAGGGUUCUGGGGAGGCAGUUCUCCCCAGGUCCUGAAUUCCCUUGGAUAGAGUCCUGGGGGGGUCUCUGGGCUAGGGGUCUUUAUCUCCUUUGGGCAUUGGAUAGUGAAAUAAUUUAUAUCUUCCCCUCCCUGCAUCCUGGAGGGUUACAGCCAGUUUCUCCACUCAGCCCUCAGACCAAUUAGGGAGCAAUAAGGUGCUAAACUGUGGUCUGGGUGUGAUUCUUAGAAGGGAGAAGUGUCUCCUCCCCGCUACCAUUUCUCUUUCUCCCUUUUCCUACCUCUUUGUCACCAACCCCAACCCCCUGGGGCAGGGAGCGGCAAGCCAGCCCUCUCCUGAGCUGCUGAUACCCCCGCCCAGAGGGUGGCCCCGCCCCGCCCCGCCCCGCCCCUGGUCGUGCAGGGAUCUGGGGGCGGGGCCGCUCCUGGCGCUGCUGUGAGGGCUGCCUGGAGAGGGCCACGCCAGCGGAAGGGAGGCCCUGGGCGCUAGGAGGUGGCUGGACCUGCUUUACUACUGGACGCCAGGGUCCCGCCUCUUCCGGCCCAUCGUGGAACAUGACUUUUGGCCCCUCUGGGUGUUGACCCAGUCUCUGCUGUGGAGAGAAGCACCCUUCUGUCUUGGCCACUGUCUGUGUCCAAUGCUGGCUGUGGAUGUCAGCAAGUUCCCACCCCUCUGGGAGGCCAGACCUCCCCAUGUGAACCAAGAGGAAGAAGUUGGUUGAUGAUCAUUUGAGCUGUUUUCUAAGUCUGGCCUUGUGAGGGGAGCAUUUUUGUACUUGAUCAGUGGACCCCCACCCCCAAAGUGCUGAGGGGUGACUUGGGGAAAGUCCUUGACUUCUGAGGCUACUCUUGACCAUCUCUCAUCUCUAGGACCUCACAGAACAGGAAGGCUCUGUUUCACCUGGAGUGGAUGAUAUUUCAGGUGCGUAGUUACCUCUCAAAGUAUUCUGAAGCACUGGGAAAGUAGAAGCCAUUAGAAUUGUUACUAACUUCCCACAGUGACCUGUGCUGGCCAGACUUUGCUUAACAAAACAGAAGUGAAUCUGGCCCCCCUACUUAUCUCCUGUGCUCAGUUGGCAUCACUGUGGCACAGGCCAAAUGCACUCACCUCACAAAUGCCACCUGGUCAGCUCCCCUAAGCUUCUGUGUUCAACAGCUCUUUGGCAAGAACCAAUUUGCCCUCCUAAAUCUCUCUAGGAAUUCCCAGUGAAUAGGAAGCAAAUUACAUGGGUCCUCAGAACAUCUCCCAGGUAAGGGAGCAGGUAUCCCUGGGUGUGUUGGCAUGCCCAGCUCCUCAGCUGGCCUGCCCUGGCCCAGCUGCUUCUGAGGAGGCUCAGAGCAGCUGGCCUGGCUCCUAGGUAUUUUUAUGUAUAGAUCCAUCCUGGAUCCAACACCACCACUGGAAUUGGGUCCAAAUCAAACACAUUCUAGGCUCAGUGGGGCUAGGGUUCUGCCAGCCUCUUGGCCAGGCAGGGGUGGGUGGAUGGGCUGAGGCCAGUGUCAGCUGGUCUUCCUGGACCUCGGAAUGCUGAGAAGACUCACUUUUCCUUUUCCUCUCCCUCAGUUUUAUGUAAGUCCUUUGUUCUGUCUUAAGUCAAAAUUGCAACCCCAUUUCUCAGAUGGAGUAAGUGGAAACUGAGGUCUGAAGAUUUUGAGGAAAAUCAGGAGCCCUCCUGUGGGCUCGUGCAGCUAAGUUGGAUUCAGGUGACACAGUUUGCUCAGAAUGGGGUGGCCCUCCUACAGGAAGGAAUUCUCCCCAGGUCCCUCCCAGAUGAGGUAGCUUCCCUCUCUGAGCUUCAGGGUCCCUAUUUGAGGUCAGGCCUGGGGCUGGCUGCAAAGGUAAGUGGCCCCCUGCCUCACUCAAAAGUCCCCUUCUGCCCUCUCUCCUUGGGAAUAGUCCCUCCAUCCUGGCUUGGCUUCUCUCCCCUGCUGUAGUCCUGGGGAGCCUUACUACUGACAUGUCGCUAGACCAAGUGCCCUCUUUCCCCAGGUUGCACCAGCCAGUCACAGCUCCUCCCUAGUUACAGGAGAGACCUUGAGGGCCUAGUUUUGGCUGGCUCCCUAAUGCCAACACCCCACUUGAGCCUGGCAGCCAGGCUGUCCCUGAUCUAACUCCGGGUACCUUGACAACCGCGUGAAGCCUCACUCAUUCUCUAGCCACUUCAGAACCUCUGUCCAGGCUGGGUACCCAUCCUCCUUCCACUGGCCCACCCUCCCAACACUGCCAGUUGGUACAUGCCACAGAGCUCAACCUUGCCCGAACCCCACAGAUCUAAACUGUUCACAUCUUCAAACUCUGGACUUUCUCCAAGACUCAGCUUCUUAUAGGCAGGAACACAAUUGCCUCUCAAUAAAUUUGUGUUGCAAAAAAA